AACUGGUGAAGGUUAGCCCCA
rnacentral:siRNA from 1 species